GGUACAUUGGCGAAAUGAAGCAUCCGCAUUUCCCUAUGUUAUAUAUGAUAUUAUUCAAGGAGGAACUAAAAACAUG
rnacentral:sRNA from 1 species